CUUGCGACCACAUCACGUUUUAAAACACCGGCUCGUACGAUCACCGAAGUUAAGCAACGUUGGUCCAGGUCAGUACUUAAAUGGAUAACCAUUUGCGAAUACCAGUUG